rnacentral:rRNA from 1 species
AGAACGAACGCUGGCGGCGUGCUUAACACAUGCAAGUCGAACGUGAAAGCGGGCUUCGGUCCGUGAGUAGAGUGGCAGACGGGUGAGUAACACGUGGGUAACCUGCCCGGAGGUGGGGGAUAACCCUUCGAAAGGAGGGCUAAUACCGCAUAACAUCCCGAGACCCUCGGAUCUUGGGAUCAAAGCUAGCCUCUUCUUGAAAGCUAGCGCCACCGGAGGGGCCCGCGCCCCAUUAGCUUGUUGGUGAGGUAACGGCUCACCAAGGCUGCGAUGGGUAGCCGGCCUGAGAGGGCGAUCGGCCACACUGGAACUGAGACACGGUCCAGACUCCUACGGGAGGCAGCAGUGAGGAAUCUUGCGCAAUGGGCGAAAGCCUGACGCAGCGACGCCGCGUGGAGGACGAAGGCCUUCGGGUCGUAAACUCCUGUCGAGAGGGACGAAAGCUGGGGGAGUUAAUAGCUUUCCCGGUUGACGGUACCUCCAAAGGAAGCCCCGGCUAACUCCGUGCCAGCAGCCGCGGUAAUACGGAGGGGGCUAGCGUUGUUCGGAUUUACUGGGCGUAAAGGGCGCGUAGGCGGCUACGCAAGUCGGACGUGAAAUCCCUCGGCUCAACUGAGGAACUGCGUCUGAAACUGCGUAGCUCGAGUCCCGGAGAGGGUAGCGGAAUUCCCAGUGUAGCGGUGAAAUGCGUAGAUAUUGGGAGGAACACCAGUGGCGAAGGCGGCUACCUGGACGGGUACUGACGCUGAGGCGCGAAAGCUAGGGGAGCAAACAGGAUUAGAUACCCUGGUAGUCCUAGCUGUAAACGAUGAGCACUUGGUGUUGCGGGUAUCGACCCCUGCAGUGCCGAAGCUAACGCAUUAAGUGCUCCGCCUGGGGAGUACGGUCGCAAGGCUG